UAAGGAAUAUUGGUCAAUGGAGGCAACUCUGAACCAGCCAUGCCGCGUGCAGGAUGACGGCCCUAUGGGUUGUAAACUGCUUUUGUACCAGAGAAAACCCCGAUACGUGUAUCGGGUUGAUAGUAUGGUAAGAAUAAGCAUCGGCUAACUUCGUGCCAGCAGCCGCGGUAAGACGAAGGAUGCAAGCGUUAUCCGGAUUCAUUGGGUUUAAAGGGUGCGUAGGCGGACUGAUAAGUCAGUGGUGAAAUCUCUCAGCUUAACUGAGAAACUGCCAUUGAUACUGUCGGUCUAGAGUAUAGAUGACGUUGGCGGAAUAUGACAUGUAGUGGUGAAAUACUUAGAUAUGUCAUAGAACACCGAUUGCGAAGGCAGCUAACGAAACUAUAACUGACGCUGAGGCACGAAAGUGCGGGGAUCAAACA
rnacentral:rRNA from 1 species